rnacentral:tRNA from 1 species
CCCUGGGUGGUGCAAAUGGUCAACAUGCUUGGCUGCUAACCAAAAGGUUGGAAGUUCAAGUCUACCCAGAGGCA